rnacentral:rRNA from 1 species
UACGUAGGGGGCAAGCGUUGUCCGGAUUUAUUGGGCGUAAAGAGCUCGUAGGUGGUUCGGUAAGUCGGAUGUGAAAUCUCCAGGCUCAACCUGGAGGGGUCAUUCGAUACUGCCGUGACUAGAGUUCGGUAGGGGAGUGUGGAAUUCCUGGUGGAGCGGUGAAAUGCGCAGAUAUCAGGAGGAACACCUGAGGUGAAGACGGGUUGCUGGGCUGACACUGACGCUGAUGCGCGAAAGCCAGGGGAGCAAACGGG